rnacentral:rRNA from 1 species
CCUACGGGCGGCAGCAGUGGGGAAUAUUGCACAAUGGGGGAAACCCUGAUGCAGCAACGCCGCGUGAGUGAGGAAGUAUUUCGGUAUGUAAAGCUCUAUCAGCAGGGACUAGAAAAGAAGGUACCUGAGAGAGAAGCCCCGGCUAACUACGUGCCAGCAGCCGCGGUAAUACGUAGGGGGAAAGCGUUAUCCGGAUUGACUGGGUGUAAAGGGAGCGUAGACGGCAGUGCAAGUCUGAAGUGAAAGGCGGGGGCUCAACCCCCGGACUGCUCUGGAAACUGUACGGCUGGAGUGCAGGAGAGGUAAGUGGAAUUCCUAGUGUAGCGGUGAAAUGCGUAGAUAUUAGGAGGAACACCAGUGGCGAAGGCGGCUUACUGGACUGUAACUGACGUUGAGGCUCGAAAGCGUGGGGAGCAAACAGGAUUAGAUACCCGUGUAGUC